rnacentral:rRNA from 1 species
GAUGAACGCUAGCUACAGGCUUAACACAUGCAAGUCGAGGGGCAUCACAAGGUAGCAAUACUGAGGUGGCGACCGGCGCACGGGUGAGUAACACGUAUCCAACCUGCCGUUUACUCUUGGAUAGCCUUCUGAAAAGGAGAUUAAUACAAGAUAGUAUCAUGAGAUCACAUGUUCACAUGAUUAAAGAAUUUCGGUAAACGAAGGGGAUGCGUUCCAUUAGAUAGUAGGCGGGGUAACGGCCCACCUAGUCUACGAUGGAUAGGGGUUCUGAGAGGAAGGUCCCCCACACUGGUACUGAGACACGGACCAGACUCCUACGGGAGGCAGCAGUAGGGAAUUUUCCACAAUGGACGCAAGUCUGAUGGAGCAACGCCGCGUGUGCGAAGAAGGCCUUCGGGUUGUAAAGCACUGUUGUAAGGGAAGAAUGGAUAGGAGAGGAAAUGCUCUUAUUAUGACGGUACCUUACCAGAAAGCCACGGCUAACUACGUGCCAGCAGCCGCAGUAAAAC